CGAGUCACGUGACAUUGUUUUCGUUUGCUUGCGUCCGGAUUGAGCAUUUCGUUGUAAGUGACUUUAAUUUGCCCCAGGUGUCCAUGCUUUGAGUUAAUCAUGUUCUUUAUUUAAAGGCCUGGGUGACUGAGCACUUCGCGUAGUAUUAUAUCAUGUCUUUAGUGGAUUCUGGUUAUUAUCGUUUGUUUUCCAUGCCGCGAAUGUUCUCGUUUCCCGGUGAAGACCGCGUUUACUUGAAUCAUGAUGACUACGAUGAGCUCAUGUUUUUCCUGGAGGACAGUGAUUAUGACCACGAGUCAGACUUUAUCGAGGAGCAGCACCUUGAACAUUUGGGAUUAACAGCAGAUGAAAAAAAGGAUGCAGAGGAGACAACUGGAAAUAGCUCUGUGCAGUACUUGUGAAGCUCCUAUAGCUUGGAGUAUUGAUCUGUCUAUUAAUUUUGGUGCUGUUCUUUUGAGAGAUUCAAUGAAAUGUAAGGGUCGUAUCAUAACACCAGAAACAUUGAAGUUCAAGUAAUGAGGCAUAUUCAGCAGAACCAGUAGCUUUAUAUUCCAAUGGCUUGUGAUUAUAGUGCUGAAUUUGUCAACAUCUUGGCAAGCAAAGGAAUGGUACUACUGACAUGAUGAAUAUAAAAUAUUAUGCCUAGAUCUCAUCUUUUGGACAAUUUAAACAUAAUUGAGCCAGUGCUCCAUUCCACUGUGCUAGGUGUAUCUGAAAGAGAUGUACUGUUGUCAAUGUGCUAUAAAAUAUAUCCUAACUGUUUUCUCACCCAAGUGGGCUCUUUGGCCAGGAUGUGCACUAAAGUAAGGCAUCUUGGAGUAACUUUUUCUGUUAGUAGUUGCAGGGCUGAAAGGUCUGCCUGUGUUUCUGCUCAGUGGUGUUUUAGUGAGUCCAACUUUGAGGAACCAGUCCUAGAUCCAAAUGCAGAUCUGUAUCCUGGGACCAUGGAAAAAGUUUCUUGUAAAUUUAAAAUCUCAGGCCUGUACUUUUCGUUGCACCCUCAUCCAAUCAGACAUUUCUUUGGGAGGCCUUCGGAGGUAUUGAAUUUAAGUGGCGCACAAAUACACACCCACACGUACACUGACUGACUCUUCUUACAUGUGGAACAUAUUGCAAGCAGAUCUGUACUUUGUACCUCUUAGAACCUGUGCCAUUAAGUCAGACAAAAGAGAAGAUACAAGUAGUAAUACCACUUUGCACAAUGGUUGAGAUUAAGGAGUAUUUUAUUCUUGAAUAUAGUUUUCAUAUUGACUGCUAUGCACCCAUUUAUUUUGAUAGCUUUUUUUCUCCAAAUUUGGUUUACUAUUGGAACUGUGUUUAAUUGGGCACUUGUUUGCAUUCAAUUUCUUUAGUGCCUGUACUGUUUAAAAAAAAAAAAAAAAAAAAAUCCUUAAAUAUUUUUUUUUUGUCAAUGCAAUGUCGUUUGGUUGAUAUUUCUUGAUUUGCUAGGUAAUUGUAUUGAACUUUAGUCAUUUGUCAGCAUAUGAUAGUGUAGGUGUUCAGAAUAAUGUGGUAAGAUAAAUCUCCAUGUUGUAGAAAAAUAAUUCAAAUCAGAAUUUUGUGAAAUCGUUUUCAAAAAUAGCUAGUUAAAUAUGCAGUUAUUACCACUGUUUGGGUAAUUUUUAUGUUGGGUUAUUUAAUUUAGUCUGUAUUUUUUGCAGCAAUGUAGUUUGUUGUGACCUGCAAUACAGCCAGUUUUUUCCCCCUCACUGUGCUCUAAGACCACAGCAGACACCUAACUCCUUUCUCUUAGAAUUGCCAGGUAUGAAUGACCCUGACACAGCAGGACAGCCAGCAGUCCUCACAACGAGCUGAAUUUCAACUAUAAUAUUCAGUUCACUUCACAGAUUCCUGAACAUGUCAGCUGACUUGAGCUACAUGGUUGUUUGUUUACUGUCUUGCGUAAGCCGGGUUUGUUUUUAUCCUCAUACAUCUGACAAACUUAAAGUUAAGUGGGAGUUUAUUUCCAUAUCCUUCCAAAUUUUACAUUUUUCAUGUAGUGUCGACAGAUAUAACAGGGUGCACAGUAACUUGAAGGACGUGAAAAACCCUUAUAAACACUGAUCAAAUGAAUCCCAAUAAGGAAAAAAAACUCUAUAGUUUAGAGAGGACUUGUAGUAAAAUUUAUAAAAUUAUUUAUUGGGUAGACUGCAUAAUGUUUGACAUUUGAAAAGUGUUACUUAUUUUAAGAAGACUUUUAGAAAUUAUAUUGUUUAACAUAUUACAUAUUAAAUACCAUGAUCUGUACUGGGGACACAAAAGUCACUGAAUUGUAAGACUGACUACUUAAAUGUAGCAGUGUAUGUGCAAUAUAAAUAAAAGUACACAUGAACAAAGGACAGUCAAGUAAAUUAGCAGCUACAGUCUAGUCAAGUCAAGUGGGUUUUUAUUGUCAUUCCUCUAUAAAACUUGUAUACAUUGGAAUGAAAUGCUGUUUCUCCAGGACCAUAAUCUCAAGACUACAUAACGUGCAAAUACACAAGAGUGUGAGGCGAGUGCAGGACAAACAACAGAACAAAGAACAGAACAAUGAAUACACAGGAUAAUAAAUACACAGAACAUGGGCUGUAAACUGCAAAUUAUUUGGUAGUGUAGCAUCAAUAAGUAUAUCUGUAGAAGCAAUAAGUGUAGCAUUCCAUAAAGUGUCUGUUGCAGCUUUGUAAAGUGCGGUGUGCAUGUGGUGUUGAGUCCUACUCAGUUAGGUGUUUGACUAGCCCAGAUAAGUGUUGAGAGGCAGCAGGGUGUUGAGUAAUCUGAUUGUCUCAGGGAAG
ensembl:lncRNA